AGGAUCUAUAACUUACUAAAGCUAGAGGGAUUUGGCCACUGUUCAUAAGAAAAAACCCGCCAGAGCCGGGUCAAGGUCGGGUUAUGGGUCAGUUUUUCCGAGACCUAUGCUGGAGGCCCGAUAACGGUAGCUUCCAGGUAAACAAACAGUACGGCUGAUCUUCUCCUCUGCACCAAAUCUUCUUGCGUCGUAAACAGACAGUAGCUUCCACUCCUCCAUCUGCACAUGCAUAGCCUCAAGAUUCUCUCUCUGAACCAAAUCCUCUUCAGUUUCUUUCUUCUUUUUUCCAUCACAAUAAUCAAGAAACCCAACAAGCCUCUCACCAGGCUCUACUACAUCACCUUCACCACCAUCCUCUGCGCCCUCUUCUACCUCAUCGGUCUCUGGCGACACCCUACAACCACCGCUGCCGCCGGCAGCCACUACACGCCGUCAACCUCCACCACCACUCUCGAUUUCUCGCUAUCAGAGCACACACCAUGAGAGGAUGUGCAGAAGUUCCCGCGAGCUCUGACAAGGAGUAGUGGCUGACUUCACUAAAACCCCAAGCUUAAAUAUAAUUGGUCAUGCGCACACUUCCUAAGGAUCGAGUGAUUUCAUCAAGGACAUCAUGAUUGAAGUUGCUACUUUGAAGUUAAGGACAUCAGGAUUUCAUCAAGGACAUCAUGCGCACACUUCCUUGGAAAUAUUAUCGGAGUGUUUUCAAUCUCCCUUCAAUCUACAUACCAAAACUGUCAUUGAUGACUCUCCGGUGGUGCCACUUUGAAGUUGUUGAUGGUUGAAGCAUGAUGCAAUGUCGUAUCCCCCAGAUAGCAGACGAAAAACAGUUGGAGAACAAUUCAUUAGAGAAAAUGAAUAAUGUAAGUAAACAUGUGAUGACGGUUGCUAUAAAAAUUAGUUUGAUUUUCAUUCACUGACACGUUCAAGAAUGGUGAAACUGGUGCUGCCCGCAGAGGCGGACCUACAUGGUGAUGAGGGGGUUCACUUGAACCCCUGGAAAAAAAAUAGAGCACACUUAUCCCACUAUAUAAAUUUUACCCCUUUAUAUAAAUUCGUUUUUGAACCCCCUGAAAAUUUUAAAUUGUACUGUGCACAUAUUUGCACCAAACUCAAACUCACUUAUCCCACUUUCUCACACACAUGUGUGUCUCAGUGUCUUUAUUGCAGGAAGUGUGUUUGUAAGUACUGGGUAGUCACAACGUCAAACCCAUAGCAUUACAACAAAGCAUCAUUAUUCUCUGCUUUUAAUAAGGCAAAUGUGUUGGAAUUUGUAAGUUUUUAUCAAAAUGAAUUCACUCCAUUUAAUUUAGUGGUGCUUGGUGUCUGGUGAUGCACUAGAUUCCUACAUCAUCGGUAUGCGUAGGAAUGAUGAAUUUACCUCUUUGAAAGGACUCCAACAGCUUUCGGAGUAGUUGGUUGAAAAAGGAAAACAUGUUGUUUAUCCACAAGUUUAUCUUCUUUUGAAAUUUGCGCUUAUUUUGCUUGUUGCUAUGAAUAUUGUGAAGAAUAAGCUGCGUAACCGAAUGAGAGAUACAUGGAUGAACGAUUGUUUAGUUACUUACAUUGAGAGUUAUGUAUUAAAUACCAUUGACUUCGAGCUUAUUAUUCAACGAUUUCAGAAUAUGAAAUCACGUAAAGGACAAUUAUGACUUGUAUAAUUUAUUAGUAUAAACAUAUUAAAGUUGUUUUUAAUUAUAUUUUUAUUGAUGUGUUCGUUUGAAAAUUUUGAACCCCCUGACCUCGGGUCCUGGAUCCGCCACUGGCUGCCCGCAAGCUGUUCGAUGAAAUUCCUGAGAGGGAUGUUUGGAAUUGGAACUGUAUGAUCGUUGGAUAUGUGGCGGUUUGGGACCUGGAGGCUGCUAUCAGAUCACUUCACAUGUAUAGCUCUUGACAUUAUUUUGCCUUUCAAUGCAAUUUCAGACAGCUUGGGUCUAUGUGAAGCGCAUUGCUGAAUAUAAACCGUUGCGGAGGCUCGCAUGUGAUGGUUGAGGUGGACGAGGUCGUACUGCGCACACUUGAAGAAGGUCUUGAUGCUUGAAUGAGAGGUUUUCCAGUUCUUUGUACUUGAGGUUGCAGACCAAAGCUGAAAAUAAGCUUCUGAAUGCUGAAGUUUUUGUACAUAUCAUGUUUGAACCGUGAGAGUGGAGUAAAGGAUAAAUGCGAUGUUAACAGGCUAAAGAAGACAAAGGUGGAAAGAAAUCCUGAUUUGAAAGGAUUGGGUUCAAUGGGUUACAUUUCAGGUCAUGGAAGUUUUCAAUUUUAAUAUGCUUAAUUUAAUUAUUAUUUGUAAUAAUCUAUAUGGUGAUUACAGGUUGGUUACACUUCAGUUCAUGAAGUGAGGCAAAUGGGUACCUUUCUCAAUGGGAUCAAUUCACAGUACAGCCUGUUUCGUGGUUGAGCUUUGUUUUGCUGGUUUUAACUGGAGCAGGAUAGAUAUUUUACUAUGACAGAGAAAAGAAACGACAUGUUGAAGACAUACAUAAUGCUUCGAAGGCAGUGAAGCAUGGACCUUAUGCGGGAAAAACUGCAAUUGGGGGUCCAUUUCACCUUACCAACCAUCGUGGGAAGCACGUUACUGAAAAGGACUUCUUGGGGAAGUGGACAGUGAUGUAUUUUGGAUUUACUCACUGUCCAAAUAUCUGCUCUGAUGAACUACAGAAGUUAGCAGAUGCAGUUGAUAAAAUAAGUCUGCAGAGAAACUAAAUGUGGCCCAAUUCAAUCUUGAGUGUAAGUUUCUUUCCCUUUAAUAUGAGGAUGAUUGGAGAAACUACAAACUUUUCAAGGGAAAGUGGUUGUAUAGAAGGAAAUUAGGAAGGUGACAAUGCUGGACAUGUUGCUUGGUUAUAUUUGCCUAAGAUUCUGAUUAGAAUAGAUGGGAAUGUAAGCAAUGUAGUGGAUGAGGUUACUUUGGUUGUCUUCUAUGUGUUACUUUUUAAUGAUCUGAUACAGCUACCAGGUAGAACAAGUACGACUCUCUCCUACUGAUCUUCUCUGUCAUACGAAUCUACCGCCGCCGCAAAAUCUUUCAUGGAGAUUUCGAAGGACAACCCGCUGAUAUGCCCUUAGGAUCUCUACCGAAAUUAACCCUAACCCUGAGCUUGAAUAACUGAAGUUAUUGAUUAUGGUUGCUAUAAAAAGUGGGUUAAGAUGCAUUAUCUGCCAUGUCCGGUCAAGUAUUAUUCCCUGCCUGAUUGUUUGGUGUUGUUGCUCGAAUUUUCUGAACGUGUGGGUCGUGUGGCUUCUCUAAAUGGAACCAUCAAUUCUGUUGUUAGCAUUGUAGUGGCAGUGUGCCACAUUAGAAUUGGUGUACUUGAGCUGAUUAGUCUUUUGUUGGUCUUUUUUAGAAUAUUGCAACCAAGUGCAUGGUGCUUAUUGAUUUGCUUAAUUUUAUAGGUGUUAUCUUAUAUAUUUCAUCAAGUAUGAUCUUCAUGCCUAUACAAAGUUGAUUCUGAUA